GAUGAAGAACGUAGCGAAAUGCGAUAAGUAGUGUGAAUUGCAGAAUUCAGUGAAUCAUCGAGUCUUUGAACGCACAUUGCGCCCCCUGGUAUUCCGGGGGGCAUGCCUGUCCGAGCGUCAUUGCUGCCCUCAAGCACGGCUUGUGUGUUGGGCCUCCGUCCUCCUCCCGGGGGACGGGCCCGAAAGGCAGCGGCGGCACCGCGUCCGGUCCUCGAGCGUAUGGGGCUUCGUCACCCGCUCUUGUAGGCCCGGCCGGCGCUUGCCGACACAUCAAUCUUUUUUCCAGGUUGACCUCGGAUCAGGUAGGGAUACCCGCUGAACUUAAGCAUAUCAAUAAGCGACGA
rnacentral:misc_RNA from 1 species